rnacentral:rRNA from 1 species
CCCACUGCUAUCGAGGUGGGACUAAGCCAUGCUAGUUGAGCGCACAGAACUAUGUCUGUGAGCGGCACACUGCUCAGUAACACGUAGCUAACCUACCCUUAGGACGUGGACAACCCCGAGAAAUUGGGGCUAAUCCGCGAUAGAUGUAUUGUCCUGGAAUGGUAUUACGUCUAAAGGUAUCCCAUACAUGUUUGGUAUAUGCCUAAGGAUGGGGCUGCGGCCGAUCAGGCUGUUGGUGAGGUAAUGGCUCACCAAACCUUUGACCGGUACGGGCCAUGAGAGUGGUAGCCCGGAGAUGGACACUGAGACAAGGGUCCAGGCCCUACGGGGCGCAGCAGGCGCGAAACCUCCUCAAUGCACUUACGUGCGAAGGGGCUACCUCGAGUGCCAUCUGAUGAAGGUGGCUUUUCCUAGGUCUAAAAAGCCUUGGGAAUAAGAGGGGGGCAAGACUGGUGUCAGCCGCCGCGGUAACACCAGCCCCUCGAGUGGUGGGGAUGAUUAUUGGGCCUAAAGCGUCCGUAGCCUGCCGUGUAAGUUUCCCGUUAAAUCCAGCGUCUUAAGCGUUGGACCGCGGGAAAUACUGUACGGCUAGAGAGUGGGAGAGGUCAGCGGUAUUCUGGGGGUAGGGGCGAAAUCCUUUGAUCCCCGGAGGACCACCAGUGGCGAAGGCUGCUGUCUAGAACACGUCUGACGGUCAGGGACGAAAGCUGGGGUAGCGAACCGGAUUAGAUACCCGGGUAGUCCCAGCCGUAAACGAUGCAUGCUAGGUGUUGGGUUGGCCGCGAGCCACCC